rnacentral:rRNA from 1 species
AGCCGGCCUGAGAGGGCGACCGGCCACACUGGGACUGAGACACGGCCCAGACUCCUACGGGAGGCAGCAGUGGGGAAUAUUGCACAAUGGGCGAAAGCCUGAUGCAGCGACGCCGCGUGAGGGAUGACGGCCUUCGGGUUGUAAACCUCUUUCAGCAGGGAAGAAGCGCAAGUGACGGUACCUGCAGAAGAAGCACCGGCUAACUACGUGCCAGCAGCCGCGGUAAUACGUAGGGUGCGAGCGUUGUCCGGAAUUAUUGGGCGUAAAGAGCUUGUAGGCGGUUUGUCGCGUCUGCCGUGAAAAUUCGAGGCUCAACCUCGAACUUGCGGUGGGUACGGGCAGACUAGAGUGUGGUAGGGGAGACUGGAAUUCCUGGUGUAGCGGUGAAAUGCGCAGAUAUCAGGAGGAACACCGAUGGCGAAGGCAGGUCUCUGGGCCACUACUGACGCUGAGAAGCGAAAGCAUGGGGAGCGAACAGGAUUAGAUACCCUGGUAGUCCAUGCCGUAAACGUUGGGAACUAGGUGUGGGUCUCAUUCCACGAGAUCCGUGCCGCAGCUAACGCAUUAAGUUCCCCGCCUGGGGAGUACGGCCGCAAGGCUAAAACUCAAAGGAAUUGACGGGGGCCCGCACAAGCGGCGGAGCAUGCGGAUUAAUUCGAUGCAACGCGAAGAACCUUACNUCGUGUCGUGAGAUGUUGGGUUAAGUCCCGCAACGAGCGCAACCCUCGUUCUAUGUUGCCAGCACGUGAUGGUGGGGACUCAUAGGAGACUGCCGGGGUCAACUCGGAGGAAGGUGGGGAUGACGUCAAAUCAUCAUGCCCCUUAUGUCUUGGGCUUCACGCAUGCUACAAUGGCCGGUACAAAGGGCUGCGAUACCGCGAGGUGGAGCGAAUCCCAAAAAACCGGUCUCAGUUCGGAUUGGGGUCUGCAACUCGACCCCAUGAAGUCGGAGUCGCUAGUAAUCGCAGAUCAGCAACGCUGCGGUGAAUACGUUCCCGGGCCUUGUACACACCGCCCGUCAAGUCACGAAAGUCGGUAACACCCGAAGCCGGUGGCCCAACUCGCAAGAGGGGGAGCCGUCGAAGGUGGGACUGGCGAUUGGGACUAAGUCGUAACAAGGUAGCCGUACCGGAAGGUGCGGCUGGAUCACCUCCUUUCUAAGGA